rnacentral:rRNA from 1 species
AGCGAACGCUGGCGGCGUACUUAACACAUGCAAGUCGAACGAGAAUCGCCUGUGUAGCAAUACACAGGUGGUUCUAGUGGCGCACGGGUGAGUAACACGUGGGUAACCUGCCCUAGAGUCUGGGAUACCCUCUCGAAAGGGAGGCUAAUACCGGAUACGUUCCUCGGGUCGCUAGGCCUGGGGAGGAAAGGUGGCGAAAGCUGCCGCUCUUGGAGGGGCUCGCGGCCUAUCAGCUAGUUGGUGAGGUAACGGCUCACCAAGGCGAUGACGGGUAGCU